GGCUUGGUAGCUCAGCCUGGCAGAGCACUAGACUUUUAAUCUAGGUGUCGCGGGUUCAAAUCCCGUCCAGGCCA
rnacentral:tRNA from 1 species